AGGAGGACUGCUGCUGCUUUACUUGGAUCUUCUGCUUGCAGAACACAACUGGUGUAAUUAUAUCUAAAGAUGCGUUUUAAACUCUAAAACAAGAGUUGUUAAUGCUGACAUAGGAUCUUUCCAUUCACCCAGCUGGGUUUGCUCCAGAGUUUCCCAUUCGUUACUUUUUCUAUUUGUUUUUGCAGGACUGUUCAAGGAUGAAGAAAGCAGAAAUCCAAUGCUGAACACGGAUGGCUAAUGGAAGGAAGUUCCUGGAAAUCUGAGCAGGAAGAAGUGGAUAAAAACAAGUGUGGGAGGAAAAUGAUGGCUGGAGAAGGGAAUUUGGCAAAGGGAUGGGAGGUCAGAGCAGUUCAGUGACGGCACAAGCCAGGGACACUGCUGGGGCAGAAGCCCUUGUGGGGAUGACGGACCAAGCCAGCCGCAGCGCUACCACGCUUCUGGAAACAUGUGGGUCACUGCAAACCCCAUGAGAACGGCAAUGAAAUUAGGACACGACGAAGGAACAAGUCCAGCCAAAAGCUCCCACCCGUGCUGAGCGCGGACGUUAGCACCAGCGCCCGGCGGAGGCUGCCUGAGCACGCCGCGACGGCCGGCGCAGCCCUGACCACAGGAGCCAGAGGGACUCACCGCCUCGGGGUCGGGUCAUACUGCCGUCCACCUCCGGAGCAAACCUCGGCCCUCCAUGGCUGCCGUGAUGACUAACACACGGGAGAGUCAGCAGAUUCCUCUCCAGCCCUCAGGAAAACAGCGUGAAACGUCUGGUUCAAGCGUGAGCUGGGCUUCGCCCUUCUGCAGCCAGCGCGUUGCCGGCCAGGCAGAGCUGGCUCCCGAGGCGGCGCGUAGGGGCACCCGGGGAGGGACAGCCGGUGGUCAGCCGGGUGAUGGGCAUCCUGGAGAGAGGUUACCAAAUACUUGGAAUAUAAGUGGUGGCCCUGUUACACAGGCAACUCAUCAGAAAACACUUGGAGAAAGGCUAUCAGAGAAGAAGAGGGAGAAGCUGGGAUCUGUGCUCUCCCGGCACGUGGAAUUAAACACAAAGAUCCUCGGCAUGAAUACGAAGAAGAGGAAAGUCUCCCCCUCCUUCUGUAAGGAUUUCCCUGUAAGAGUGAUCUCCACACAGGCCCUGUCCCAGGUCAUCCUCUGUGUCCUGUCCCAUGGCUGUGAAUUUGAUAGGAAGGAAAAAUUAUGGCUAUUGAUCACCCAGCGGUACCAAGAUCUACAACACAUAUAUCCAAAUUUGCUUGGGUAAAAGUGAAGUUUAACGAAAGGUACACUUCUCAACGUAACACGACAUUGUUAAAAUCGCACAGGGGGAAAAAAUAAAUAAUAUUUUGAAUCGUUACUGUCCA
rnacentral:lncRNA from 1 species